rnacentral:rRNA from 1 species
AGAGUUUGAUCCUGGCUCAGGAUGAACGCUAGCUACAGGCUUAACACAUGCAAGUCGAGGGGCAAGCAUGGUCUUAGCUUGCUAAGGCCGAUGGCGACCGGCGCACGGGUGAGUAACGCGUAUCCAACCUGCCUUACACUCUUGGACAGACCUUCUGAAAGGGAGAUUAAUACAAGAUGUUAUCAUGAGUAAGCAUUUUCGCAUGAUUAAAGGUUUACCGGUGUAAGAUGGGGAUGCGUUCCAUUAGAUAGUAGGCGGGGUAACGGCCCACCUAGUCUUCGAUGGAUAGGGGUUCUGAGAGGAAGGUCCCCCCACAUUGGAACUGAGACACGGUCCAAACUCCUACGGGAGGCAGCA